rnacentral:tRNA from 1 species
GCCGACGUAGCUCAGCCGGUAGAGCGCACCCAUGGUAAGGGUGAGGUCGUCGGUUCGAUUCCGGCCGUCGGCUCCC